rnacentral:rRNA from 1 species
GACGAACGCUGGCGGCGUGCUUAACACAUGCAAGUCGAACGGAAAGGCCCUGCUUUUGUGGGGUGCUCGAGUGGCGAACGGGCGAGUAACACGUGAGUAACCUGCCCUUGACUUUGGGAUAACUUCAGGAAACUGGGGCUAAUACCGGAUAGGAGCUCCUGCUGCAUGGUGGGGGUUGGAAAGUUUCGGCGGUUGGGGAUGGACUCGCGGCUUAUCAGCUUGUUGGUGGGGUAGUGGCUUACCAAGGCUUUGACGGGUAGCCGGCCUGAGAGGGUGACCGGCCACAUUGGGACUGAGAUACGGCCCAGACUCCUACGGGAGGCAGCAGUGGGGAAUAUUGCACAAUGGGCGGAAGCCUGAUGCAGCAACGCCGCGUGCGGGAUGACGGCCUUCGGGUUGUAAACCGCUUUCGCCAGUGACGAAGCGUGAGUGACGGUAAUGGGUAAAGAAGCACCGGCUAACUACGUG